CUUAUCUAAAUGGUUUCCAUUGAUGAAAAUAAAAUAGCAGAGCAAACCCACUUGAGGAUCGUCUAUGUUAGAAUGGAAACAAAAAAGGAAAAAGAUAGAAACAGACUCCACAACGCAAUCUUGAUGAGAGAAAAGAGAUGGGCAAAACAGAGAGCAACUUUUGCUUUCUCUUUUAGACUAAUUUUUUAAUAUAUAUUAUUGAUUUUAGUGAUGAUUCUUCUUCUGUAG
rnacentral:misc_RNA from 1 species